rnacentral:rRNA from 1 species
CGCGCAGGUGGUUUCUUAAGUCUGAUGUGAAAGCCCACGGCUCAACCGUGGAGGGUCAUUGGAAACUGGGGAACUUGAGUGCAGAAGAGGAAAGUGGAAUUCCAAGUGUAGCGGUGGAAUGCGUAGAGAUUUGGAGGAACACCAGUGGCGAAGGCGACUUUCUGGUCUGUAACUGACACUGAGGCGCGAAAGCGUGGGGAGCGAACA